AGGACGGUUAGCUCAGUUGGUCAGAGCGUGGUGCUAAUAACGCCAAGGUCGUGGGUUCGAUCCCCAUGUUUCCUU